GCAUGCAACUACAAUUAAUUAAGUGCAUGCCUCUUCUUUUCAAUUCAUUUUCGUACUAUGACCUUUAACUCGAUAAAUUGAAUUAUAUUUAAUAAAAAUGACUGCUAUAGGAAAGUAAAAAGGAUUCUCAUCAAUAUAUAUAAUCGUUAUUAUGUAGAAGAUUGCAGCUUCGAUAGAGACUGGUUGUUUUUUCUAGAAGAUGUGGUUAGGUAUUUGCAAUUGAAGAAGGAAGACUGUAAAGAUUCGAGAGAUGGAACGUUGUAACUUGUAGGAUAGUGGGAUAUCGAAGGAGAGCGUAUAUUUUAAAGAUUUUGAAAUUUGAAUAAAAGAGCUUAUUAUGGGCCUUAGUUUCAAACACCUGUAGGCCCAUAUUGAAACCCAUAUCUAAUAUGGCGGACCGUUGAGAGGUGAAGUUAAAUCGUACGGUUGAGAGUUGUGUGAAAAAGUGCAGGACCGUCCGAUUGGAGUAUCCAACGGAUCAACAAAAGAUCUCAUACAUACAUAUACUUCUCGUCUCGACUCGUCUCUCUCUUUCGUUCUUCUUAGGAAGUGGUGAGAUUCUUAGGUUAGUAUGUCUUUUUUUCAAUUUCUCUAAUCUCUAGAUCGCGAUUUUUCUCUUGUUCGUUCUCAUCUUGUUUAAACUGAUGCGAUCGUGAUAUCUUGUUUUGCAAUUUUGUGAGUUAGGGUUUCAAGUUUCGUCAAUCGUUCGUUGAAUCUACAUGGAAGCUCUUGCCUCAGCGUGAAACCGUCGUUUAGUAUGUUUGUGUGGAGAAGCCAUAACAGCUGAAGAUAACUUUGAAUCUGUGAGCCAGACAGCACAACAUAACAGAUAAGCUCUUUUUACUUCCUCCUUUUUUUUUCUUAAUUGAACAACAAAAUUCGCCUUUUAAUAAGGUUCCCCAAAGCUUUUUUUUGGUUUUUAUCAAAACAGAGAAGCUUUGUUUUGGUUUUUCAUCAAACCCCAAAAAGGAUCGUAUGCAGACACUAAUCUAAUAGUGUGCUGACAGAUUCUCAUUUGGGGACAUUGUCCGGUUGCCUGAAGCCUAGUCCUAUAGAAAUUUUUCAAUCAUGGUAGUGCAUGUCUAAAAGAGGGGGACAUUGUCCGGUUGGUGGUAGUGCAUGUCUAAAAGAUGGGAACAUUGUCCGGUUGAUGGUUGGUGGUAGUGCAAAAGAUGGAAAGUAUGACAUACUUUAGUUACCCACGGCUUACAUAAACAACAAGAAACGGCUUAAGAAAAGUCUUUAGACAGAGACUGAGAUGGUACCCACGGCUUAUUACUGUUGGAUGCAAAUGUCCAGUGGCUUUCAAAAUAGUCUUUAGACAAAAAAGACUAUGAAACGUUGGAUGGAUCAAAUGACCCACAGGUCCACAACUUACCAAAAAAAAAAGUCUUUGGACACACAAAGAGUAAGAAUGUUGGAUGGAUUAAACGACAAACAAAACAUCAUAAAGACUAUGAAUGUUUGGAUGGCUAAAACGACAAAAACAAAGAAUAUGAGUUACCCACGGCUUAUAAAGGCUUUAAACAAAGACCUUGACUUCUAUGAAGAGUCUUUAGACAAUAUCUACCCACGGCUUGUGAAAAAGUUUAUAGACAUACACUUUGACGAAGACAUACUCUUCUCAACAACAAAAGGCUUAAGAAAAGUCUUUAGACAGAGACUGAGAUGGUACCCACGGCUUAUUACUGUUAGAUGGAAAUGUACAGUGGCUUUCAAAAUAGUCUUUAGACAAAAAGACUAUGAAACGUUGGAUGGAUCAAACGACCCAUAAGUCCACAACUUACCAAAAAAAAAGUCUUUAGACGCACAAAGAGUAAGAAUGUUUGGAUGGAUAAAACGACAAAAACAAAGAGUAUGAGUUACCCACGGCUUAUAAAGGCUUAUGAAAGUUUUUUUGACAUUGCUUGUUACACACGGCUUAUGAAAAAGUCUUUAGAACAAUUGAGUUAAGACAGCUUUAUGAAAACUCUUUAGACAAUACUACUGCCCACGGCAUUACAAAGGCUUUUGUAGACAAAGACUCAACUCAACUUGGACGAUACUACUAUUACCCACGGCUUAUAAAGGCUUUAAACAAAGACCUUGACUUCUAUGAAGAGUCCAUAAUUUACCAAAAAAAAAAAUUCUUUAGACACACAAAGAGUAUGAGUUACCCACGGCUUAUAAAGGCUUUAAACAAAGACCUUGCCUUCUAUGAAGAGUCUUUAGAUAAUAUCUACCCACGGCUUAUGAAAAGUUUUUAGACAGAGACUUUGACUUGUUUGUUACACACGGCUUAUGAAAAAGUCUAUAGAACAAUUGAGUUAAAACAGCUUUUGUGAAGAGUAUUUAGAACAAUACUACUGCCCACGGCAUUACAAAGGCUUUUUUGGACAAAGACUCAACUCAACUUGGACAGUACUACUAUUACCCCCGGCUUAUAAAAGGUCUUAAAGAUAGAAACUAUAAACCCUUUAGACUUCUAAGUUUAUUGGAUGUGAAACGACUAACAGUGGAUGAAAAAAGUGACCACCAGUUUAAAGAGGUCUUAAGGAAAACCUAUUUUACUUGUUGGAUGGGAAACAAACUACCUGCAGCUUAGAAAAGUCUUAAAACAGAGACUAUGAACCAAAAACCAUAUCUACACAAGGCUUCAGAGAAAGACCAACGGCUUAAAAGACGAAUAAUAUGAAACAAAACAGACUCUUUAUGACAUAGACUACAUGUCAGUGUUUAGCUUGUUGGAUGGGAAAAAACGACCAACGGCUUAAACUAAGUAUAACUAAGACUUGAACUAUGAACCGAAAUUGAGUUGGAAAAAUGACUAACAGCUUGAACCAAGUCUUAUGACAGAGAGUAUGAACUGGAAAUUAAUUCCUUACCCGAGGCUUAAAAAAAAAUUCUCAAGACUAUGAAUGGAAUAUAAAAAGUCUUUAUGAGAAUCAAAAACAGAUACCCAGAGAUUUGAAACGUCUGUAGACAAAGAGAGAUUCUUUGGGGACAUUCAUGUCACAACUAUUGGUUGGUAGUGCAUGCCUAAGCGAAGUAUGGAAAGUAUGGCAUACUUUAGUCAGCCACGGCUUAUAAAACUAACAAAAGGCUUAAGAAAAGAACUAACAAAAGGCUUAAGAAAAGUCUUUAGACAGACUUUGAUUGUACCCACGGCUUGCAAUAAAGAUUGUAGACAAAGACUAUAGAUCGGUGUUUAGCUUGUCUGAUGGAAAAGCUACCAAGUCUUAAAACAGAGUGUAUGAACCACCCAUUGAGUUGGUUCUUUUGACUUGUUGGUUGGGAAAACUCACCAAUGACUUAAGACAGAGACGAUGAAACCAACUCUUACGGCUUAUAAAAAUUUCUCAGAUACAUAAACCUAAGAAUAUGAACGGAAUAGAAAGACUUUUUAUGAUAAUUGAAAACAGAUAUCACAACGUGAAGUAAAGACUAAUGAAUUCUGUUUUUUUCUUUCUCAGGUAUGCAAUGCUUCAGAAAGUGCUCAUUUGAAGUGUAGCAGGUUUAUUUGUAAUUAUGCUUUCUGAAGUUCUCAGACUAGUUUCAAUUGUUUAGGUUUGGGCUUGCUUGUUCAUUAUCGCGAUGACGCCAAGGCUCUGUUCAGGUAUAAGCUUUUCUUGACUUUUUCUCUUGUGAAAAUUUAUAAAGUAUUAAAGUGAUGUACACGUAACUAAAGAAACUGGAGAAAAGUAACUGAAAAUGUUUUUCUUAAAAAAAAACAUUUUAAGAAAUGAAUGUAUGUUGGAGUCUCUUGGAAAUCAAAGUAAGUGAGAGACUCCUGCAUAUUGUGGUGGUAGUUUAAAAAAAGAAAAUUAUAAUAUUUCUCUUUUGUGUUAUACUCCUAAAAUCCAGUGAUCAAUCUAAACAAUGUUAGUAAUCUCUUUAUAGUUUGGCAAUUUUAUGUAUAAUAAGUUCUCUUAUUUUAUGAAACUGAUGCAUUUUUGAGUUACUUAUAGAUCAACAUAUGUGAAAACUGCAGAUUGUAGUAUUAUUUUCUUUGAAUAUUGAAUGUUUGUGUUUUGUGUACCAUACCCCUCUGUGAUCACUGUAAACAUGUGAAAUGACAUCUUCACAUUUCUGCAAUUAACGCUGCUGAUUGCUAUCUUAGAUUCGAAUUGUAUAUGUUUGUAUUUCGAUUAGCUUUGGUUUCGUGCUUGUGAAAUGGUUGUGCCUUGGAGUCUAUUGUAGAUCAAUGUAGGUGAGAGACUCUUGCAGAUUGUGGUGGUAGUUUCUUUGAAUCCUUGAAUGUUUCUGUUUUGUGUUAUACUCCUGCUAACGUUCAGUGAUUUCUUCAGUUUGGUGCUUGAAUGUAUUAUAAGGUCUCUCAUUUUAUGAAAUAGAUGCAUCUUGGAGUCUCUUCUUUUGUAAAUCAACAUGUGUGAAAGACUGCAGAUUUUGGUAGUAGUUUCACUGAAUCUUGAUUGUUUCUGUUUACUUUUAGGCUCAUAACCCUCGGUGAUCAUUAUAAACAUGUGAAAUGACAUCUUCAGAAUUUUGCAUUCUACCUUGAUGAUUACUAUAACUAUGUUAAAUACUAUAAAUUGUAUAUGUUGAGUUGAAAUUUCCCUGCUUUGGUUCUUGUGUUUAUUUCUUGGUUUUUGAGUCUUGACAACAUUUCUCUCAUUUAUGUAAUUACCUUAAAUCUUGAAUGUUUAUGUUUUGUGUUAUGCUCCUAACGCUUGGUGAGCAUUCGAAACAUGUUCACAUUUUCUAGAAUUCUGCAUCAUAUGUCGACGCUUACUUGUUACAUUCUAUAUUAUACAUGAAUUGAGUUUUUACAAUAACAGUGAUCGAGAAUUCUCUGUUAUCAAUUAUACCUUUGUCUUUUAGUCGUACAUAAUCCAUGAAUCAUGGAAACCUAUUGAAUCAAUAUGUGGAAUUAUUAGAACGUGCAACUGAUCAUUCUUGAGUUUUUAUGAUUGAUAGAUGUCACAGUCAAGAUAUUAGUUGUAUCUAAAAUAUAUAUGUAAUCAUGUGAGUAAGUGUUCUAACUUCUACUCACUCUUCUAUUUACGUCGACUAAAAAUGUCUUUUUUUUUCUUUUGGGGUCAAAUGUUACGACGAUGAACAUUAAAUAGCGUAUAUGUUCUUAUAGAUUACGGUGGAUUGGCCUAAGAAUAAGGUUUGCGACGAUGUGUUGUUACUUGUUAGUGUGAAAUAAAUGCAUCACCCAUAAAUUAUGUCAAAUAAUUCUUUUAAUGCAAUAGAUAUUGUAGUAUCCUUAGCAUUGGUUCAUAUAAUAGAAUAACAUACCUAACUUUGUCUACUUAUAUAUAUAGGGAUACAACAACAACAACAAAAAUGUUGCAAUAAAAUCUCUGUGCCUUUUUUUUGUAAAACGGCUUAAACGAAUUGAAAAAUCUAUAAUAACGUGAACAUAUGCAAAUGUUAGUCACAUCCUCUAUCUCUAAAUUUUUUUGUUAAUGUUUAGUUAGGUUAAUGUUUUUGGGUUCCAAAAUGCCAAAGGGUGUAACAUCCACACCUGAUCAUACAUCGUUUAGUACUGUGAAUGAUAGGGAUUCGGGAGUUAGUUUACGUUGGGAUCAUAGAUAGUUAAGAGACUUAAAAUGGGCCACUUAUUUCAAGGGUUUAGUUGAAUAUUUAUUCCUAUUAAGUCUCCAUCUUUAGGCAAUGAAGACUUUGAAGGAUCGUGGUUUCGACUCGAUGCAUUUUGAAACGGAUUACCUACAACUUCUGAAGCUGAUAAGAUGUGAGGACGAAUGGCCAUCCAUGGGGACUGAGAUAGAAGAUAUUUGGAUACAAUCUAAACUUUUUACUAGUUUCUCUAUUUCGUAUCUACCGCGUGGUAAGAACACCCGAGCGGAAUGUUUUGCUAAAGCAGCCCGUAAUCGAACUGAUGCUUUUGUUUACGUUAGUACUGAAACUCCUGUUUGGCUAGCUCAAGUAGCAAGGCUUUUGGAGUGAUUGAAUAAUAAAAUUUCUUUGAUGUCAAAAAAAAAAAAUAGUUGAUGUUACCACAACAUUAAUUGAACAAUUCUCGCCUUAUUAUUUAUUUCUUCUUUCCUAAAUGUUGAGAAAAAAAAUUUAAUAUACAAGAAUGAUUGAAUGAAGCAGCUAUGAUUGGCUCAGACCUAGCCAUCCAACUUGGGCUAGAUUGAUCAGAUUAAAACAGAACAAAUCACACCUAAAUGUGGAAGUUGUAAUGUGUGUAAAUAAUUUAUAUAAGCUAUGAACAUUUAAAUGUCUCACAUUAAACUUUUUUUUUGGAUUAAAUUAAACAAAUGGGCCUUUUAAGCCUCUUUCUCAUUAAUAUGAGAACAAACCAUAUGUACUGAUCGUAUUGACAACUUAUCUUCAUGUGGUUGAAGGGUAUCAACUGACUGGACAUCCGUAAGGCAAUGGCAUGACACUACGGGACGAUCGUUACGGCACGUGGACAUAAUUGAAUUCCAAGAAUAAAUUCUGGUAUUUUUUCUUUGUUUUUAUUUUCACUGAUAAUGUUUUGGAAUCACUGUCGUUUUAACCAAUAUAAUAGCCCUGGACGAAACACAUAAUAUAGACCUUUUUAAAAAUAUUUUCUAUAUUUUUCUUCACUGAAUUUCUUUUAACUUGAGCUCUAAGACCUGAAACCAGUGUUUUGAAAACUAGACCAGACCAGCCAGUCGGACCAUGACUCGGCUAUCUAUUCGGUUCGGGGUUAUACUAAAAACCGGAUUUGAGUUAGAUUGGCAAACCCGGUCAAAAACUAGUAAAACUCGCUAAAACCAGUGAUCAAGAUCGAUAUUAAAAUCCUAUUUUUUUCAAAUUCAAGUAUUUUUUUAAAACUGCAAAUUUUAAAAAUAUUUCAUAGAAAAUUCUAUUGUUUUCUAAGUAUCUAUCUAAAUAAAUUAUUUUCAUUAUUUUAUAUUUUUAAAAAAAUUUUUUUUGUUUUCAUAUUAUUUUUAGAUUCUAAUAAUUAUAUAAAAUUUUAUAAAAAUAAUUUUAUGUUAUACAUAUAAUAGUUACUUAAUAUAAAAUUAAUUAAAAUUUAAAAUCCAGUUAAACCAAUUGGACCGGUCCAACCAUUGAUCUAGUUACAAUGUCGAAUCAACGUCUGGUCCGGUUUUCAAAACACUAUCUGAAACAAAUAGAAAAAACAUCUCAAAACUAAUUGUGAAUAUACCUAUUUUUUAUUGUUUUGUCUUGUAAUAAAAAAUUAGAUUUACUUAAUUAUGAGUCUUUUUGAUAAUUUAAUACAAUAAAAUAGAUCUUUAAAACAACACAAAAUUUUUUUGGACCCACGGGUAAGAGCCGGGGCUGUUUGGAAUUGAUGGAUAUAAAUGUUUGGAAAAAAAAGUUGUACCAACUAGAAGGAUAGUAUUUGCAGAAAUAUAACUCUGUAAAGUUAUAAAA